rnacentral:rRNA from 1 species
UACAGAGGCCCCAAGCGUUACUGAGAAUCACUGGGUUUAAAGGGUGCGUAGGUGGCGCGUUAAGUUCGUUGUGAAAUCCCUGGGCUCAACCCAGGAAUUGCUUCGAAUACUGGCGUGCUUGAGGCUAGUAGGGGUCACUGGAACUGACGGUGGAGCGGUGAAAUGCGUAGAUAUCGUCAGGAACGCCGAUGGUGAAGACAGGUGACUGGGCUAGUUCUGACACUGAGGCACGAAAGCGUGGGGAGCAAACAGG